AUUGAACGCUGGCGGCAGGCUUAACACAUGCAAGUCGAGCGGGCGAGGUUGCUUCGGUAACUGAGCUAGCGGCGGACGGGUGAGUAAUGCUUAGGAAUCUGCCUAUUAGUGGGGGACAACAUUCCGAAAGGAAUGCUAAUACCGCAUACGCCCUACGGGGGAAAGCAGGGGAUCUUCGGACCUUGCGCUAAUGGAUGAGCCUAAGUCAGAUUAGCUAGUUGGUGGGGUAAAGGCCUACCAAGGCGACGAUCUGUAGCGGGUCUGAGAGGAUGAUCCGCCACACUGGGACUGAGACACGGCCCAGACUCCUACGGGAGGCAGCAGUGGGGAAUAUUGGACAAUGGGGGAAACCCUGAUCCAGCGACGCCGCGUGGGUGAAGAAGGCCUGCGGGUUGUAAAGCCCUUUCGGUAGGGACGAAAGCUCUCGACCUAACACGUCGGGAGGUUGACUUAACCUACAAAAGAAGCACCGGCUAACUCUGUGCCAGCAGCCGCCGUAACAC
rnacentral:rRNA from 1 species